UUGGGUGCUAUUUGAGGUAGAAAGUGUCCUCUUUAAUGCGACGGUAAUGGUUCAUUUCAGGGUUCUUUGAGAGGGAAGAACUGAGGCUCCAAAGUCAGCUUCAUGAAGCUGAAAACCCAGAAAAUCUAGGCAUAUAGUGAUAAUUUCCAAUCUUCUUGCCUCUAAAACUCAUGAUUUUGGCAACAAUUUUGGCAGAAAUAAAAUUCUAUAUUUUAGCACUGCAU
rnacentral:lncRNA from 1 species